rnacentral:rRNA from 1 species
GACGAACGCUGGCGGCGCGCUUAACACAUGCAAGUCGAACGGAAAGGCCUGCUUUCCCUUGUGGAUUGCGGGUACUCGAGUGGCGAACGGGUGAGUAACACGUGAGUGAUCUGCCCCCAACUUGGGUAUAAGCCUGGGAAACUGGGUCUAAUUCCGUUAGGACCGGAGGGGGGUGCCUGUGGUGGAAAACGGUUUUCUAGGGGUUGGGGAUGAGCUCGCGGCCUAUCAGCUUGUUGGUGGGGUAAUGGCCUACCAAGGCGGCGACGGGUAGCCGGCCUGAGAGGGUGGACGGCCACAUUGGGACUGGGAUACGGCCCAGACUCCUACGGGAGGCAGCAGUGGGGAAUAUUGCACAGUGGGCGGAAGCCUGAUGCAGCGACGCCGCGUGGGGGAUGACGGCCUUCGGGUUGUAAACUCCUUUCGACCGCGAGGAAGCCACCUGGUUGGAAGGGUGGUGACGGUAGUGGUAGAAGAAGCACCGGCUAACUACGUG